rnacentral:rRNA from 1 species
AUUGAACGCUGGCGGAAUGCUUUACACAUGCAAGUCGAACGGCAGCACGGACUUCGGUCUGGUGGCGAGUGGCGAACGGGUGAGUAACGUAUCGGAACGUAUCCAAUAAUGGGGGAUAACUAAUCGAAAGGUUGGCUAAUACCGCAUACGCCCUACGGGGGAAAGCUAGGGACCUUCGGGCCUGGCGUUAAUGGAGCGGCCGAUAUCUGAUUAGCUAGUUGGUGGGGUAAAGGCCCACCAAGGCGACGAUCAGUAGCUGGUCUGAGAGGACGACCAGCCACACUGGAACUGAGACACGGUCCAGACUCCUACGGGAGGCAGCAGUGGGGAAUUUUGGACAAUGGGCGCAAGCCUGAUCCAGCCAUUCCGCGUGAGUGAAGAAGGCCUUCGGGUUGUAAAGCUCUUUCGCAGGGGAAGAAAACUUAUCCUCUAACAUAGGAUGAGGUUGACGGUACCUUGAUAAGAAGCACCGGCUAACUACGUGCCAGCAGCCGCAGUAACAC